UGGGGACUGGAGUAGAGGCAGGACAGGUGACCUCCAGGGCCCACCAUCACCACCCAGCCCGUCAGCACUGACUCUAACACCACCUGCACCUGCUCUUCCCAAUACCUUAGCCACCGUGACCACCAACAUGCAUACUGACCAGAGCCCCAGCAGUCCUAAUGCUGCCAUCAUCAUGGCCCCCUUACCGUCCCCUUUACCAGCACUCAUGAUGUCAGCAGUAGCUGUCAACCACACCCAUCAACAUCAGUGCCUAUACCGUUGUCAGCACUGUCCCCAGCACCGGGUCUCAUCAGCAAGGUCAUAGGCUCUGUCCAGGCCCACCCCUCUGCCAUCACCAAAUCCAAAUCCAUCACCAUCAUCCAAACCUUCACCAACACUCCCACCAACACCAACACCACCAACAUCAUCGUCCCCACCUGGGAAGCUAAACCUCCACCCCCGACCUUUAACACACAAACCUUGAUGUCACCACGUCCCCCACCUCUGACCCCGACCUCCACCUGGUGCUCUUUGUUCCCGUGAUGCCCUACCAUGGGCCCCUCCCAAGGCUGCGUGAUGUGUGUUGGCAGGUGGUUGCUUGUGCUGAUCCUUGGAUGGUGAAUGCCUGCCCUUCAGCUGGUCCUGGUUUCUGAAGGUCAAGGCUGCCGCCUGCAUCUUGACCUUCUUCUUCGUGUAGAUUUCCUCAGACUCCAU